rnacentral:rRNA from 1 species
UACGGGGGGGGUAAGCGUUGUUCGGAAUUACUGGGCGUAAAGGGCUCGUAGGCGGCCAACUAAGUCAGACGUGAAAUCCCUCAGCUUAACUGGGGAACUGCGUCUGAUACUGGAUGGCUUGGAUCCGGGAGAGGGAUGCGGAAUUCCAGGUGUAGCGGUGAAAUGCGUAGAUAUCUGGAGGAAUACCGGUGGCGAAGGCGGCAUCCUGGACCGACAUUGACGCUGAUGAGCGAAAGCUAGGGGAGCAAACGGG